rnacentral:misc_RNA from 1 species
UUCGGUUGUUUGCAUGGCUCUUUAGCCGUGUGGGUGGCUGUUUCCCAAUGUGGCUUCGGGGAUGUUUCGUAAAAGGUGCAUGAGUGGUGUUUGGUUUGAUACGGGUGGUUGGCUCCCUGCUUGAGCAGGCACGGCCAUGCGUACAUUCCUUUUCAGUUAUGCGGCAAGGCUUGUAUCGUCUUGAUCGUAUAUGUUGGUUUCCUGUGUUGCAUACCUGAUCAAUGGCAUUGUUUUGAUCGAAAUCGUACCUUUUUCCUCUGGCGGUGCACUCGCAAUGUCGGAUGAACCAUGUAGCAUCCUUUUUGAUCCAUAUAGUCGAUGAGCAUUCAUUGAUUGUAUGGCCCGUUGAGGGUGGCUUGGUCUCUUGGAUUUGGAAGCUAAAGUGGGCAUGGGUUCGUAUGAUCCUUUUAUUGUCCUUGUUGAGCGUUCUUGCUUCUUUUAAACGAUUGCCUUUCACGUAUGGCACGUCCCAGCGUGUUUGGCUACGUCGAAGAGGAAUGUUACCUGGUUGAUCCUGCCAGUAGUCAUAUGCUUGUCUCAAAGAUUAA